GCCCGGUUAGCUCAAUCGGUAGAGCGUGAGACUCUUAAUCUCAAGGUUGCGGGUGAGUAACUGUAUUAUAAGAAAUUUCAUUCUGAGAAAAUUAUUAAUCUUUCAUAGGUUCGACCCCCGCAUUGGGCU